AGCGAACGCUGGCGGCAGGCCUAACACAUGCAAGUCGAACGAACCUUUCGGGGUUAGUGGCGGACGGGUGAGUAACACGUGGGAACGUGCCUUUAGGUCCGGAAUAACUCAGGGAAACUUGUGCUAAUACCGAAUGUGCCCUUCGGGGGAAAGAUUAAUCGCCUUUAGAGCGGCCCGCGUCCGAUUACCUAGUUGGUUGAGGUAAUGGCUCACCAAGGCGACGAUCAGUAGCUGGUCUGAGAGGAUGAUCAGCCACAUUGGGACUGAGACACGGCCCAAACUCCUACGGGAGGCAGCAGUGGGGAAUCUUGCGAAAUGGGGGAAAGCCUGACGCAGCCAUGCCGCGUGAAUGAUGAAGGUCUGAGGAUUGUAAAAUUCUUUCACCGGGGACGAUAAUGACGGUACCCGGAGAAGAAGCCCCGGCUAACUUCGUG
rnacentral:rRNA from 1 species